GGGUUGUGAGGUUAAGCGACUAAGCGUACACGGUGGAUGCCUAGGCAGUCAGAGGCGAUGAAGGGCGUGCUAAUCUGCGAUAAGCGUCGGUAAGGUGAUAUGAACCGUUAYAACCGACGAUACCCGAAUGGGGAAACCCAGUGUGUUUCGACACACUAUCAUGUCAUGAAUACAUAGUGGCAUGAGGCGAACCGGGGGAACUGAAACAUCUAAGUACCCCGAGGAAAAGAAAUCAACCGAGAUUCCCCCAGUAGCGGCGAGCGAACGGGGAACAGCCCAGAACCUGAAUCAGUUUGUGCGUUAGUGGAAGCGUCUGGAAAGUCGCAGGGUACAGGGUGAUACUCCCGUACACAAAAGCGCAYAUUCUGUGAGUUCGAUGAGUAGGGCGGGACACGUGACAUCCUGUCUGAAUAUGGGGGGACCAUCCUCCAAGGCUAAAUACUCCUGACUGACCGAUAGUGAACCAGUACCGUGAGGGAAAGGCGAAAAGAACCCCGGCGAGGGGAGUGAAACAGAACCUGAAACCGUGUACGUACAAGCAGUGGGAGCACCUUCGUGGUGUGACUGCGUACCUUUUGUAUAAUGGGUCAGCGACUUAUAUUCUGUAGCAAGGUUAACCGUAUAGGGGAGCCGAAGGGAAACCGAGUCUUAACUGGGCGUUAAGUUGCAGGGUAUAGACCCGAAACCCGGUGAUCUAGCCAUGGGCAGGUUGAAGGUUGGGUAACACUAACUGGAGGACCGAACCGACUAAUGUUGAAAAAUUAGCGGAUGACUUGUGGCUGGGGGUGAAAGGCCAAUCAAACCGGGAGAUAGCUGGUUCUCCCCGAAAGCUAUUUAGGUAGCGCCUCGUGAACUCAUCUUCGGGGGUAGAGCACUGUUUCGGCUAGGGGGCCAUCCCGGCUUACCAACCCGAUGCAAACUGCGAAUACCGAAGAAUGUUAUCACGGGAGACACACGGCGGGUGCUAACGUCCGUCGUGAAGAGGGAAACAACCCAGACCGCCAGCUAAGGUCCCAAAGUCAUGGUUAAGUGGGAAACGAUGUGGGAAGGCACAGACAGCCAGGAUGUUGGCUUAGAAGCAGCCAUCAUUUAAAGAAAGCGUAAUAGCUCACUGGUCGAGUCGGCCUGCGCGGAAGAUGUAACGGGGCUAAACCAUGCACCGAAGCUGCGGCAGCGACAUGUAAAUGUUGUUGGGUAGGGGAGCGUUCUGUAAGCCGUCGAAGGUGGACUGUGAGGUCUGCUGGAGGUAUCAGAAGUGCGAAUGCUGACAUAAGUAACGAUAAAGCGGGUGAAAAGCCCGCUCGCCGGAAGACCAAGGGUUCCUGUCCAACGUUAAUCGGGGCAGGGUGAGUCGACCCCUAAGGCGAGGCCGAAAGGCGUAGUCGAUGGGAAACGGGUUAAUAUUCCCGUACUCGGUGUUACUGCGAAGGGGGGACGGAGAAGGCUAUGUUAGCCGGGCGACGGUUGUCCCGGUUUAAGCAUGUAGGCGGAGGUCUUAGGUAAAUCCGGGACCUUAUCAACGCUGAGGUGUGAYGACGAGGCACUACGGUGCUGAAGUAACAAAUGCCCUGCUUCCAGGAAAAGCCUCUAAGCAUCAGGUAACAUYGAAUCGUACCCCAAACCGACACAGGUGGUCAGGUAGAGAAUACCAAGGCGCUUGAGAGAACUCGGGUGAAGGAACUAGGCAAAAUGGUGCCGUAACUUCGGGAGAAGGCACGCUGUCGGUAGGUGAAGGGACUUGCUCCUGGAGCCGAAGGCAGUCGAAGAUACCAGCUGGCUGCAACUGUUUAUUAAAAACACAGCACUGUGCAAACACGAAAGUGGACGUAUACGGUGUGACGCCUGCCCGGUGCCGGAAGGUUAAUUGAUGGGGUUAUCGCGCUGCGAGAAGCUCUUGAUCGAAGCCCCGGUAAACGGCGGCCGUAACUAUAACGGUCCUAAGGUAGCGAAAUUCCUUGUCGGGUAAGUUCCGACCUGCACGAAUGGCGUAAUGAUGGCCAGGCUGUCUCCACCCGAGACUCAGUGAAAUUGAACUCGCUGUGAAGAUGCAGUGUACCCGCGGCAAGACGGAAAGACCCCGUGAACCUUUACUAUAGCUUGACACUGAACAUUGAGCCUUGAUGUGUAGGAUAGGUGGGAGGCUUUGAAGCGUGGACGCCAGUCUGCGUGGAGCCAUCCUUGAAAUACCACCCUUUAACGUUUGAUGUUCUAACCUGGCGCCGUAAUCCGGCGUGGGGACAGUGUCUGGUGGGUAGUUUGACUGGGGCGGUCUCCUCCCAAAGAGUAACGGAGGAGCACGAAGGUUAGCUAAUCACGGUCGGACAUCGUGAGGUUAGUGCAAUGGCAUAAGCUAGCUUGACUGCGAGAGUGACGGCUCGAGCAGGUGCGAAAGCAGGUCAUAGUGAUCCGGUGGUUCUGAAUGGAAGGGCCAUCGCUCAACGGAUAAAAGGUACUCCGGGGAUAACAGGCUGAUACCGCCCAAGAGUUCAUAUCGACGGCGGUGUUUGGCACCUCGAUGUCGGCUCAUCACAUCCUGGGGCUGAAGUAGGUCCCAAGGGUACGGCUGUUCGCCGUUUAAAGUGGUACGCGAGCUGGGUUUAGAACGUCGUGAGACAGUUCGGUCCCUAUCUGCCGUGGGCGCUGGAGAAUUGAGAGGGGUUGCUCCUAGUACGAGAGGACCGGAGUGAACGCACCACUGGUGUUCGGGUUGUCAUGCCAAUGGCAUUGCCCGGUAGCUAAGUGCGGAAAAGAUAAGCGCUGAAAGCAUCUAAGCGCGAAACUUGCCUCGAGAUGAGUUCUCCCUGGKUCCUUGAGACCCCUGAAGGGACGUUGAAGACUACGACGUUGAUAGGCCGGGUGUGUAAGCGCAGCGAUGCGUUGAGCUAACCGGUACUAAUGACCCGUGAGGCUUAACCUUACAACGCCAGAAGCGUUCUGGUNCUACGACGUUGAUAGGCCGGGUGUGUAAGCGCAGCGAUGCGUUGAGCUAACCGGUACUAAUGACCCGUGAGGCUUAACCUUACAACGCCAGAAGCGUUCUG
rnacentral:rRNA from 1 species